UUUUGGGGUCUUGAAAUCUGGGCAUAACAUUUGGGGGCUCGCCGGGACCCCCAAGACCCAUGAGGGACCCCGCUCCAGAGAGUCUGACUGACCGUGCCUAUUCAGUCUUGACAGAGCCAAUGGGACCAGUAACAUCUAAAAAGACACCAGUUCUAGGAGCCACUGGACAAACUGCCUUUUUUCCUUGGACAUCAAAGAGGACUGUGGACCUCAAAAAGAACACAGUCACAAGCCCA